AUAUGUAUCGUAAACAUCCAACGUUUUGGUCCCCAAAAAAUGCAAAACUCCUGUCAAUAAUAACCUUACGUGUUUUGUUUACGGCAGAGUACAUUUCCAUCGGAGUUAGGUAUCAGCCAUUUACCCUUAGCAACCAAAGUUUGAUUACAGCAGUCGCUGGAAAUUUCAAAACUUAAAAAACCAACCACCAAAUUUACUACUUAGAACAAGAUUGUUAAAAAGUCUGUUUUUAUUAUUUAUCAUACAAAUGUAAACUAGAUAUAGUAAAUUUAUCUCGUUAUUUUUAAAAUGUAC